UAAGGAAUAUUGCGCAAUGGGCGAAAGCCUGACGCAGCGACGCCGCGUGUGGGAGGAAGCUCUUCGGGGUGUAAACCACUGUCAGAGGGGAAGAAACCCGUCUAGUCGAAUAGGCUAGGCGCUUGACGGUACCCUCACAGGAAGCGCCGGCUAACUCCGUGCCAGCAGCCGCGGUAAGACGGAGGGCGCAAGCGUUGUUCGGAAUUACUGGGCGUAAAGCGCGGGCAGGCGGUUUGUUAAGUCGUUUGUGAAAAUCCGGGGCUCAACUCCGUGAAAUGCAGACGAUACUGGCAGACUGGAGACCGGUAGAGGCUAGCGGAAUUCCAGGUGUAGCGGUGGAAUGCGUAGAUAUCUGGAAGAACACCUGUGGCGAAGGCGGCUAGCUGGGCCGGGUCUGACGCUCAUCCGCGAAAGCGUGGGGAGCAAACAGGAUUAGAUACCCCCGUAGUCC
rnacentral:rRNA from 1 species